CCUACGGGGUGGCAGCAGUGGGGAAUAUUGGACAAUGGGGGGAACCCUGAUCCAGCGACGCCGCGUGAGUGAAGAAGUAUUUCGGUAUGUAAAGCUCUAUCAGCAGGGAAGAAAGGAAUGACGGUACCUGACUAAGAAGCCCCGGCUAACUACGUGCCAGCAGCCGCGGUAAUACGUAGGGGGCAAGCGUUAUCCGGAUUUACUGGGUGUAAAGGGAGCGUAGACGGUUACGCAAGUCUGGAGUGAAAGGCGGGGGGCCAAACCCCGGACUGCCUUGGAAACUGUAUAACCGGAGGGCAGGAGAGGUAAGUUGAAUUUCUAGUGUAGCGGGGAAAUGCGUAGAUAUUUGGAGGAACACCAGGUGCGAAGGCGGCUUACUGGAAUGUAACUGACGUUGAGGCUCGAAAGCGUGGGGAGCAAACAGGAUUAGAUACCCCGGUAGUC
rnacentral:rRNA from 1 species